rnacentral:lncRNA from 1 species
UAGGUGGAGAUGUAGGAAGAAACAGCCACAUUUUUGCCUCAUCGAAGCUAAAGAUUCAACAGAAUUUUUUUACUGCAUGCCUAUAUGUGCUAAAUGCUUUCCCAUGUUAUCUUGUUUGUUUCUUGCAAUAAAUUAGUUAUCCUGUGCUAUCUACAGCAGGUAUGGACCCUUCCCCUGGAAAUACUCUCAGCAAUCCACUACAGAAUGUUGUGGGGUCAAGAGCACAGCUUGGUGCAGUGUUGAAGAGCUCUUGAGCCAGGCAUCUGGGCUUUGAAUCUGGCUUGGUCACUCACUGUGUGACCUAGGGACAAGUGUCCCUCUCAUGUCUUGUUUUUCUUAUCUCUCAUGUAAAGUCUUGUCUCACCACCUCAUUUCCACCCCCUGCCCUCCCUUACCCUGUUAUAUUUCCCUUCAUGGCUUUGAUUACCACAUGGCAUGAUGUGUGUUUGUCUACUUUGUUAACUCUCUGAAUCCCUCCAUCGGAACUGAAGGUCCAUGAAUGCUGAAGCUUUGCUUGUUCCACCAACAUGCAUAAUAGUGCCUGGCACAUACCAGGUGCAUCUAUAUAAGUUGACAGAGGGAUGAAUAAAUGAGUGAAUGGAAAAUGGAGAUAGCGGCUGAAUGUGCAAAAUAUCAGUUCUUUUUGACACUCUGGAAGACUGGAUGAAGCAAGGAAAAACUGGAAGUUCAACACUGGAUAAAGGAAAUAAUCCAGGAAUGGUAAGAAAAGGUGUUUGAUAACUAGAGGAGAGGAAUAGGUGGCUUGAAUGUAGUUUCAUAAAAAUGCAUGGACUAUGCAUCUGUCAGAUGCAGACCACAAGAAAAGCAGCAUGCAAACUGAGCUGAAGUAGAGGUUACCUAAAAGAGAUGGCUCUAUGCCCAGCUGAUGACUUGAGGCAGCCCACACCAAUCAUAAAGUGUUCUAUCACAUCUAAAAACAAAUGGGACUUGAUUCUCCUUUAUGGAUAUACAAUCAAAGGCAAAUGUCAAUAGGGUAACGAGUAAAAGAAGCUGCUAAUCUAGCCUCCAUAUAAUGCUGACACAUUACUCAGAUGAUAGUAAAUACACGAUGACUAGAUAUAAAAAUUUUUAACGCGUGAAUGCAGAGUAAGGAAAAUGCAUAGGACCCGAGCUGUUGAGCACUGGGGCAGAGGAAGUGUUCAGUAUAAAAGACAACCUUGGUCCUUGGCACAAGAUCUUUGUGCUGCUCUGAGAUUUGGAGCAACGUUUGGUCAUGCUUUUUUCUUCAUCUACAUUUUUAAAAGACUCAUUCACUAGAAUAUAAAAUAUGUAACAAGAACUUACAUGACCUUCCAGCAUCCUGCUCGUUUUUCACACUGCUUUGGAUUUGGUAGCUCCAUGUAUUAAGAUAAUCAGGAUGCUCAAAUAUAUUGCCACACACCGUAAAACUGGGUGAUAUCCAUGCCACAGCCAUUGGCAGCAUGUUACUGAAAGUUUUGAAGGGGAGGAAGGGAACUGUGCAUAUAAUAUUUCACCCCCAUCUAUUCUUUCCCCACGCUUCAUCAGAACAGAUGGCAGAGAUGCAUUAGUUGUCUCGUUUUGUUUUGAAAUGUUUCAUUGUAAAAUAAACAAUUCUUCAGUAGAGUUUUUGUUAGUACAUAAAACUAGACUUAGAGUAAAGUUAAAUGCCUUUUCCCCACUACCCCUGCCCCAAAGCAUAAAUAAAACAAAAAUUAAAAGAUGC